ACGAACGCUGGCGGCGUGCCUAAAACAUGCAAGUCGAACGAGGGCUUCGGCCCUAGUGGCGAACGGCGGAGUAAUAUAUAAGCAACGUGCCCCGGAGACUGGGAUAUACGGUCGAAAGGCCGGGUAAUACCGGAUACGGUCAGCGAGGGACAUCCCUUGCUGAUUAAAUGGUUUUUCGCUUCGGGAGCGGCUUGUAGCCUAUCAGCUAGUUGGUGAGGUAAUGGCUCACCAAGGCAGUGACGGGUAGGGG
rnacentral:rRNA from 1 species